AACGAACGCUGGCGGCAUGCCUUACACAUGCAAGUCGAACGGCAGCACGGGAGCAAUCCUGGUGGCGAGUGGCGAACGGGUGAGUAAUAUAUCGGAACGUGCCCAGUCGUGGGGGAUAACGCAGCGAAAGCUGUGCUAAUACCGCAUACGAUCUACGGAUGAAAGCGGGGGAUCGCAAGACCUCGCGCGAUUGGAGCGGCCGAUAUCAGAUUAGCUAGUUGGUGAGGUAAAGGCUCACCAAGGCGACGAUCUGUAGCUGGUCUGAGAGGACGACCAGCCACACUGGAACUAAGACACGGUCCAGACUCCUACGGGAGGCAGCAGUGGGGAAUUUUGGACAAUGGGCGCAAGCCUGAUCCAGCAAUGCCGCGUGCAGGAUGAAGGCCUUCGGGUUGUAAACUGCUUUUGUACGGAACGAAACGGCGAGCUCUAAUACAGUUUGCUAAUGACGGUACCGUAAGAAUAAGCACCGGCUAACUACGUGCCAGCCGCCGCAGUAAGAC
rnacentral:rRNA from 1 species